GGCCCAUUAGUUUAGUGGUUAUGACGUUGGAUUUUGACUUUACUCGUCAGGGUCUUCCAAAAACACCGGUUCGAAUCCGGUAUGGGCCU
rnacentral:tRNA from 1 species